UACAGAGGUCCCAAGCGUUGUUCGGAUUCACUGGGCGUAAAGGGUGCGUAGGUGGCGCAGUAAGUCGGAUGUGAAAUCUCCGAGCUCAACUCGGAAAUGGCAUUGGAAACUACUUUGCUCGAGGGUCGGAGGGGGGACUGGAAUUCUCGGUGUAGCAGUGAAAUGCGUAGAUAUCGAGAGGAACACCAGUGGCGAAGGCGAGUCCCUGGACGACUCCUGACACUGAGGCACGAAAGCUAGGGGAGCAAACAGG
rnacentral:rRNA from 1 species